rnacentral:lncRNA from 1 species
UGUUUGAGCAUCGUCCGGCUCGCAGAUUAGCAAGGAGAGUGUAGGACGACGCCAUUGAAAUCGUUUACUGGGAGAAAGUAUGAUUCUUGAUGUCGUUUGAGUUGUUCUAACCAUCGCAGAAAGGUGCAAUAUUUAUAGCAAAGGAUUAACCCGGUUAUAGUGGAAGACGAAGAGGUAACUUGAAUGCUGGGAGUGGGCGAAGCGGAGUAAUCACCGAUAUGGCGUAAUGAUAAACAUAGUAAUGGCUGAAGAUACGUUACAG